UACGGGGGGGGCAAGCGUUGUUCGGAAUUACUGGGCGUAAAGGGCUCGUAGGCGGCCAACUAAGUCCGACGUGAAAUCCCCAAGCUUAACUUGGGAACUGCGUCGGAUACUGGAUGGCUUGAAUUCGGGAGAGGGAUGCAGAAUUCCAGGUGUAGCGGUGAAAUGCGUAGAUAUCUGGAGGAAUACCGGUGGCGAAGGCGGCAUCCUGGACCGGCAUUGACGCUGAUGAGCGAAAGCUAGGGGAGCAAACGGG
rnacentral:rRNA from 1 species